GUGGCUUCUUUUUCCUUUAUAAUCUGAAACUGAAAUUUUAAUAAUGUAAAAUUUUUGUUUUAUAAAAAGAAGCCUAAAUUAAUUGUUCCCCUCGCUAUCCGGUGCUUCAAAUGAUGUUGCAUUUGGACGUCGGGGAACUACAAAU
rnacentral:snoRNA from 1 species